AGGGAGGUCAAUUUGCUUUAUUUAAUAUUUUUUCGACUCUGAGUAGAUAGAUGUAGGAUGUAUCAUGUAGGCAUACCCCUAAGCCUAAACCUAGUCUGAUUCCUCAUGUGAAAAUCUGUAUUGACAAACUGAAGUUAAUUGUGGAUGUUCCAGAGAAACUCCUCUCCAUGUCAAAUGAUUGCUUUAGUCAGACUCUAGGUACAGGUGACCAAGUUUUGAAAGCCUUAAGGAAUGUGACAGCUGAGGAAGUGUUUAUUGAGGUCACGAAAUAGCUUGCUGAAGGUUUUCGCAUGGUACUACCGAGACCGCUAUCUGAUGCAGAGACUGUGAUAAGUACAACUGAUGAUGCUCCUCUUCACUACAUGCACAGCGAGAGAACUCUUGGAAUGUUUGAUUUUCAGUGUCACAGAGCAACAGUUAGCUUUAGAGAUGGCAAAGUUACGUUUGUCAUGAACAAGACGAUGACCUGAUUGAAGAAUAAAGAAAAUAAAAAGUAAAGUUCCCCUUUCUAACCUUGUGAUCUAUAUAGCUGAUGAUGGAAGCUUAAGUCUUGGUUAAAGUAUUGCCACAUUCACUUGCGGUUCACUUUUCGCUGCCUCGAAUAAACGUGGAAGUAAAGUUUUCAGUUCUUGCAAUCUUUAAGGCAGAUGUUGUAAAGGUCAUCGGCUUCUGUGCCCAUAGUUAAUAAGGGUGUCAUUUGGCCAGCACAACAACCAACCAUCUUUGCUUUCCCUAACUAUUGUCAGGUACCCAUUAGAACUGGGUGAACUCAGAUGUGCCUUAAAGAUCCUGAAAUAAAAAAUCCCAGUCCACCAGGAUUUGAACCUGGAACCUCUUGGUUCAGAAGCCACUUAACCACUCAGCCACCAUGUUUUUAUAUUGUUGAAAAACAAUGAAGAACCAUUUCUUUUGCUUGUAGAUUAGCUGCCAAGACAAGGCAAGAAAUGAUGGCAUGAGAGACAUUUAUUUACGUUGCUUUUAGAGUGAGGCUAGGGAUGAGGGCACAGCAAAGAGAUGACAAACAGCGUUCUUGAUUAGAGGAGGUUAUAAGAGAUGGUAUUGAAGACCUUAGCAAGAUAUCCCAGAAAGGAAGGCCUACUGUGAUCUGAUUCUGGCCAAGUCUCUAACAAUCAUUGGCAAGACUUCUUCAGCAUAUUUGGACAGAUGACCAACUGGAUACAAUUUUUGAAGGACAAGUAACAAAUGUUCAGGGAACUAACAUGUUUAUUUUAUACAGUUCAGAAACUGAGCUAUUGAGUCACAAAGUAUUAACUCUUUCUCUCC